GUAGGUGGCAAGCGUUGUCCGGAAUUAUUGGGCGUAAAGCGCGCGCAGGGCGGUCCUUUAAGUCUGAUGUGAAAGCCCACGGCUCAACCGUGGAGGGUCAUUGGAAACUGGGGGACUUGAGUACAGAAGAGGAAAGCGGAAUUCCAAGUGUAGCGGUGAAAUGCGUAGAGAUUUGGAGGAACACCAGUGGCGAAGGCGGCUUUCUGGUCUGUAACUGACGCUGAGGCGCGAAAGCGUGGGGAGCAAACAGGAUUAGAUACCCUGGUAGUCCACGCCGUAAACGAUGAGUGCUAAGUGUUAGGGGGUUUCCGCCCCUUAGUGCUGCAGCUAACGCAUUAGGCACUCCGCCUGGGGAGUACGGCCGCAAGGCUG
rnacentral:rRNA from 1 species